rnacentral:lncRNA from 1 species
AAAACAGGUCAAAAGUGGAAUAUUGAGACAAUUGACAAAUAAUAAAGACAUGGUAUUUAAGAAACCUGCGCAGAGGAUACAGAACGUUGACCUGAAAUACUGUAAGGAAGGCCAGUUCAAUACCAUUGCUGGAUGUCCAGGGCCUUGCGUGGAGCUCGGUGGCCGAGAGGAGAAUCAGAGAAGGCUAUCAGGAUGAAUUCUGAGCAUCUUCACCUGGAUUUUCACGGGUAUGUAGAAAUUAUACACGGUCAGAGUUG